rnacentral:rRNA from 1 species
AGAGCGAACGCUGGCGGCAGGCCUAAUACAUGCAAGUCGAGCGGCCCUUCGGGGCAGCGGCGGACGGGUGAGUAACGCGUGGGAAUGUGCCCUUUGGUACGGAACAACUGAGGGAAACUUCAGCUAAUACCGUAUGUGCCCGUUCGGGGGGAAAGAUUUAUUGCCAUUGGAGCAGCCCGCGUUGGAUUAGCUAGUUGGUGGGGUAAGGCCCACAAGGCGACGAUCCAUAGCUGGUCUGAGAGGAUGAUCAGCCACACGUGGGACUGAGACCACGGCCCAGACCUCCGUACGGGAGCAGCGAGGUAGGGAAUUCGUGCG